UACGGAGGGGUCUAGCGUUGUUCGGAAUUACUGGGCGUAAAGCGCACGUAGGCGGACAGAGAAGUCAGAGGUGAAAUCCCAGGGCUCAACCUUGGAACUGCCUUUGAAACUUUUUGUCUUGAGGUCGAGAGAGGUGAGUGGAAUUCCGAGUGUAGAGGUGAAAUUCGUAGAUAUUCGGAGGAACACCAGUGGCGAAAGCGCGUGACUGGGCCAGUACUGACACUCAUGGACGAAAGCUAGGGGAGCGAAAGGG
rnacentral:rRNA from 1 species